CAGCAGCCGCGGUAAUACAGAGGGUGCAAGCGUUAAUCGGAAUUACUGGGCGUAAAGCGCGCGUAGGUGGUUUGUUAAGUUGGAUGUGAAAUCCCCGGGCUCAACCUGGGAACUGCAUCCAAAACUGGCAGGCUAGAGUAGGGCAGAGGGUGGUGGAAUUUCCUGUGUAGCGGUGAAAUGCGUAGAUAUAGGAAGGAACACCUGUGGCGAAAGCGGCUCACUGGACCAUAACUGACGCUGAUGCACGAAAGCUAGGGGAGCAAACAGGAUUAGAUACCCCUGUAGUCCCUGUCUCUUAUAC
rnacentral:rRNA from 1 species